GACGAACGCUGGCGGCGUGCUUAACACAUGCAAGUCGAACGGAAAGGCCCUGCUUUUGUGGGGUGCUCGAGUGGCGAAAGGGUGAGUAACACGUGAGUAACCUGCCCUUGACUUUGGGAUAACUUCAUGCAACUGGGGCUAAUACCGGAUAGGAGCUCCUGCUGCAUGGUGGGGGUUGGAAAGUUUGGGCGGUUGGGGAUGGACUCGCGUUUUAUUAGCUUGUUGGUAGGGUGGUGUCUUGGCAAGGCGUCGACCCAUAGCUGGUCUGAGAGGAUGACCAGCUACAAUGGGACUGAGACACGGCCCAGACUCCUACGCGAGGCAGCAGUGGGGAAUAUUGGACAAUGGGCGAAGGCCUGAUCCAGCAAUGCCGCGUGAGUGAUGAAGGCCGUAGGAUUGUAAAGCUCUUUUACCCGGGAUGAUAAUGACAGUACCGGGAGAAUAAGCUCCGGCUAACUCCGUG
rnacentral:rRNA from 1 species